rnacentral:rRNA from 1 species
CUAUAAUGCAGUCGAGCGAACAGAUGAGAAGCUUGCUUCUCUGAUGUUAGCGGCGGACGGGUGAGUAACACGUGGGUAACCUACCUAUAAGACUGGGAUAACUCCGGGAAACCGGGGCUAAUACCGGAUAAUAUUUUGAACCGCAUGGUUCAAUAGUGAAAGACGGUUUCGGCUGUCACUUAUAGAUGGACCCGCGCCGUAUUAGCUAGUUGGUAAGGUAACGGCUUACCAAGGCGACGAUACGUAGCCGACCUGAGAGGGUGAUCGGCCACACUGGAACUGAGACACGGUCCAGACUCCUACGGGAGGCAGCAGUAGGGAAUCUUCCGCAAUGGGCGAAAGCCUGACGGAGCAACGCCGCGUGAGUGAUGAAGGUCUUCGGAUCGUAAAACUCUGUUGUUAGGGAAGAACAAAUUUGUUAGUAACUGAACAAGUCUUGACGGUACCUAACCAGAAAGCCACGGCUAACUACGUGCCAGCAGCCGCGGUAAUACGUAGGUGGCAAGCGUUAUCCGGAAUUAUUGGGCGUAAAGCGCGCGUAGGCGGUUUCUUAAGUCUGAUGUGAAAGCCCACGGCUCAACCGUGGAGGGUCAUUGGAAACUGGGAAACUUGAGUGCAGAAGAGGAGAGUGGAAUUCCAUGUGUAGCGGUGAAAUGCGCAGAGAUAUGGAGGAACACCAGUGGCGAAGGCGGCUCUCUGGUCUGUAACUGACGCUGAUGUGCGAAAGCGUGGGGAUCAAACAGGAUUAGAUACCCUGGUAGUCCACGCCGUAAACGAUGAGUGCUAAGUGUUAGG